ensembl:lncRNA
GAGGAAGACAACUCAGCAGCACAUCUUUUCUCCUUUGCUAAGGUUCUUCUGCCACAAUGAAACUGCUGAUUUGUCUUUCCUGCAUUCUGAGCAUAGCAGCCGCUGUCCCAGUCCGUCGGUCAGCAAGUGGCAGUGCCAGCAACGAGCGCAUUCCUAUCAUGGUUCCGCAAGUGCCUCCUCAGGUUCCUCCUCAGUUUCCUCCUCAGUUUCCUCCUCCACUUCCAGCACAACCAUACCCACCUCAGAUUCCAGCACAGCCAUACCCACCUCAGAUGAUCCCGAUCUAUGUGACCUAUGAUCCAGCUCAGGGUUUGCCCUCUAUUCUCAGCAAUCUGCCAGGCGUGGUGAACCCUGGACCUGGAGGUGUUGGUGGCCCAUUUCUGAUCCCUUAUCCUGGAAUUCCUGGGGCGGGCUUCCCACCUAUUGUGGGGAAAUAGCAUCCCAGCUGAUAUACCCUCCUGCGGUGACAGCAAGAACAUGAAGGAUGUGCUCCAUGCCGGCUUUUACUUCCCUGCUGCAGUCUUCACACCACAUUUGUAUGCAUCUUGAAUGGCAGUUAUUAACUUUAAAUGGCUAUAAGUAAUAGUAAUUUCUUUUUUUGACAACGAUAUACCAUCUGUCAUCUCUUGUGAAGAUUUGUUUUCACCUAAUGCAAUAUAAAAGCAUCAGCUUCUAAUCUAAGCAGUGUUCAUAUUUGAUUGGGUAAAUGUAAGCACUGACAGUUCCAUUUUGAAAUUGUCAAAUUUUAAAAGAAAAGACCACAGUUUUAACUAUGGGUUUAAAGUUCAUUAACACCACUAAAGAUGAUAAAUGUAUGAAUGCUGUAUUGUGUAACACAUAGAUAGAAAUGCAUAAAUUUUGGUUUGCUGCUCUGCCUCAGUAAGUGAUUGAAAUGUCUCGCUUAACAGAUUUCAGUCAAAUAGGUCACUUUCAGUUGUGUUUUAAUUCCAUUCCAAUCAAUAUGAAAAAAUAGUUAUGACUAACUUAAGUCCCACGGUACUAAGAUGUAACUAACAGUACCCAGCCCACAAUAUCUUUUUUGUUUCUUGCUGGAAAGUGGGAGGGGUAUUCCCUUUAAAAAUUGCAUGAAUAAAGAAUACAAACGAGCACAUCAACUUUAUGUUUAUGGUCUGUUUGGAGCAGAAUCAACACAUCACAAUUUUUCACACCUCUGUAUUUUGGGUUUUCCUCUUCCAUGUAGAUUCAGUAGCUUCUGACAAAGCCUAACCACAGUGCUGGCCUAGUUUGCACAUAACAGUAAGCCGUGGUUUGCUUAAUGAACCACAAUUAACAAUGUGUUAUUCCACAAGUGACUGAACAAACCAUGGCUUGUUUUCUAGCUGAUCAGGACUUGGCAGCUUGAUGAAUGUCUGAGGCCAAAAAACAACCCCCCCAAAACCCCCUAUGGUUAAGGAAUGGUGUUGCAUUCUCACAUAGUACCAAGCCAUGGUUAAAACAAAUCAAGGUUCAUAAGCUAAGGGCUUCAUAUUGUAAACAAACCAUUGUUAAGCUGCUGUGCAGGAUUUAUAUAUAACACUUAAUACAAAAAAAUGUUUAAUAAACCUUAGCAUAAAGUGUGAGUUGGAUGGUUUUAUUAUAUCAACAUUUCCCAAACAUUUGAUACUGUGUUAAUUUUUCUUCUGGAAUAAAUGGAGGUCAUAACACAUUCAAAAAGAUUAAAUACCAGCUCCCAGGAUGAUAAGCAUACAUUCUCCUUACAAUGGCAGGCUUUUGUUGGCAUCAGUCUAUCUCAGGAGCCAACGGAGCAGUGUGCCUUUGGGGAUGAGGUCAAGCUGUUGGACGGUUGCAGCACCUACAGUAGCUGUAGAGACCAAUGUGGUAAAUACAUGUUUUGUUGCAGCUGGGGCAGAUGAAGGUAUCCAGUUUUGCUGCUGGCUUUAGUAAUAUUGUAUUCCAGCAUUCUGCCCUCCCAUUUGUCCAGUGUCUGGACUCCAGGAUGGAAGAACAAUUGCUGGGCAAUGGUGUUUUGGGGCCUGUCGGAGCAAAGCAAAAACAGAUAACAUAGGCAGAAGGCAAGGCAUGCCAGAAACUGUGGCUGCUGUGCAAUUUAUUCAGAAGUCAAAGAAUAAAAUCGCUUCGCUAUGUGUUUCAGAAAAUAUUGGCAGCUUCACAUAACAAAUAGAAGGGUACAUAAUGAACAGCCAUCCCAAACUUUAGCCAAAGGUUCAUAAGAGAAAACUAGGCGCUAAUAUAUAACCAAUGAGAAGCUGGCUGGCAUAAAAGGUUAGCGUUAUUGAUUUGUUGAUAAGACUUUCUCAUUACGGGGAUGGUUCCAAAGUAUAACGGCCUUUAGGCAGGCCAUGGCAUGAAGACACUCCAAUAGUGGCUCGGAGGCGAAGCUAUUCUUCAGAGUGGUCCAAGGUAGUUUACAAUCACUUUGGUGGUGGAAAGGUUAAGCGCUUGAAAGCAGGUUUCUAAACUGCUGGUGGUUUCAA